GUAAUGGCAAGGUUUGUCUUACAUGUUCUGAUUAUUGUAAUAUUUUACUUUGAAAGUAUCCUAGCGAGAAAUGACGAAAAACGUAUUCCUCUUACGGAUCUUGAUUAUGCGGAUAACCUACAAUUACAUACUGCUAUCCAGGUAUUGAAAUCAACUAUACAGGAAAUAAAGCAGACUGUAGUUUCUCAGUCAACUUUGAUACAGAAACAGACGGUUGAUAUUACAAACUUACAGACUAAGUUACAACAAGGGGAACAGGCUUAAUUGGAGUUGGAAUCCAAACUUCAACAGAUCAUGUCAAGUACGUAAGCAUUUUUUUUUAUAUAAAUACCUCUUAUACUUUCUUAAUAGAUGAAAAUCAUUAUCUUACGGUUUUUGUUUGUUUUUCUUUCACAUAACUUUUUCACACUUUUAAUUUUUCAUGAUUUUGACAAAUUCAACAUUUUAUUUUACACAAUGAGUGAGUAAUUUACACAACAAAAACCGGACUUUUUUUUGUUUAAGUUUUUGCGAGCGACGUGUUUACUUGUGUCUUGUUUGCAUUAUUACGUUAUUGUUAUGUGAUAACAAAAAUGGGCUUUUCAUGUACUGAUUUAUUUGGUUUGCAAUGUUAAUAAUUUAUAGUUAUUGGGGUAACUCUGUUGAUUGAAUUGGUUACUGUAUAAUCGUUUCUUUUUUAAAACCAACUUCAUUUCAAACAAAAAGAUAUAGGAAGAUGUGGUAAGAGUUCCAAUUAGACAACUCUCUUUCUAAGUCAAAAUGUAUAAAAGUAAACCAUCAUAGGUCAACGUAUGGUCUUCAACACGGAGUCUAGGCUCAAACCGACAAGCUAUAAAGGGCCCCCACAAUUCUGUACUAGUACAAAUGCGUUUUUCAAAAAAUCAAUCGAAUUCCGCUUAACAUAGAAUAAUUUUGUUUAUUUAUUUGUGUUGAAAUUAAUUAUACUAUAUCCAACUCAUUGUGGUUAACAAUAUAGGGAUAUUUGAAACCAUACGUAACGAUACAAAUUUAUAUUGACAAAUAUGUCCUUAAAUAAGGCCAAUGUAAAAUGAACCCUGCUAGAUAGAUAUGAACAACUUACAGGCAUGUCAUACACAUGUAGCCACACUAGCUUCAACAAAGGUAUUUCAAAUAUUUUAAGGAUUGAUAAAAGAUUUUUUGUUAGCUCCGACGGGAUCUGUUUAUAUACAAUGGGGAAGGAAAUCAAGUACUAGAAAUGGAACGGAACUUGUUUAUUCAGGUUU
rnacentral:lncRNA from 1 species